rnacentral:snRNA from 1 species
AGCUUUGUGCGGUGGCAGUAUCAUAGCCGAUGAGGUUUAUCUGAGGCGUGAUUAUUGCUAAUUGAAAUGAAAUAAAGAUUAUUUGCCGGCCUCAAGGGAUUAUUUUUAAAAACUGCUUUGUU